rnacentral:rRNA from 1 species
UACGUAGGGGCUAGCGUUAUCCGGAAUUACUGGGCGUAAAGGGUGCGUAGGUGGUUUCUUAAGUCAGAGGUGAAAGGCUACGGCUCAACCGUAGUAAGCCUUUGAAACUGAGAAACUUGAGUGCAGGAGAGGAGAGUAGAAUUCCUAGUGUAGCGGUGAAAUGCGUAGAUAUUAGGAGGAAUACCAGUUGCGAAGGCGGCUCUCUGGACUGUAACUGACACUUAGGCACGAAAGCGUGGGUAGCAAACAGGAUUAGAUACCCGUGUAGUCCCUGAGCGGG